UACAGAGGGUGCGAGCGUUGAUCGGAAUUACUGGGCGUAAAGGGCGCGUAGGCGGUGAGGUAUGUGUGGUGUUAAAGCCCCGGGCUUAACCUGGGAAGUGCAUCGCAAACUAUCUGACUGGAGUAUAUGAGAGGGUGGCGGAAUUUCCGGUGUAGCGGUGAAAUGCGUAGAGAUCGGAAGGAACGUCAAUGGCGAAGGCAGCCACCUGGCAUAAUACUGACGCUGAGGCGCGAAAGCGUGGGGAGCGAACAGG
rnacentral:rRNA from 1 species